rnacentral:rRNA from 1 species
UACGUAGGCAGCGAGCGUUGUUCGGAGUUACUGGGCGUAAAGGGUGUGUAGGCGGUUGUUUAAGUUUGGUGUGAAAUCCCCCGGCUCAACUGGGAGGGUGCGCCGAAUACUGAAUGACUUGGAGUGCGGGAGAGGUGAGUGGAAUUCCUGGUGUAGCGGUGAAAUGCGUAGAUAUCAGGAGGAACGCCGGUGGUGUAGACGGCUCACUGGACCGUAACUGACGCUGAGACACGAAAGCGUGGGUAGCAAACAGG